rnacentral:sRNA from 1 species
ACCAACCAAACAGAAACAAUAGCAUCUACAUGAGGCAAUACAGCUUCCCCUAGAGUCUAUAGAGUAUCUAACAAAAAUCCCGGUGACAUGCAUGGGAAAAUUCUCUUCAAGUUGUUAGUCCAAAGACCCCAAGAAAAUCCCUAAACAACACAGGGUAUUUGUGUUGCCUUUAGUUGCUUCCCAGAACCUGACUCCUGUUGUGGUUGGUCUGAUGCUAUGAUGCUAAGUGUGGGCCCCCAAGGCCUAGUGGCCCCAGAGAUGAGAGAGUCCACACACAGACACAGACCCAAGUGACCUUUCCUCCAAUUCCUCUGAUUGGUGUGAAUGAAGUUUCCUACAGCCUAUAAAUGGGCAGAAAUGAAGUAGGCGGGGCUUGGUGCUCCAGGCCUUGGGGUUGGAGGAGACCAAUGUAGGGGUGGGGGAGUUGAAGAAGGUGGAAAGAGGAUUAAGACAUCAUGGGUUAGGAGUGAAGAAAGCAAGACCCUGGGGGCUGGCAAAUUGAAGUUAAGAGCAGCCCAGAUGAAACAUAGUAGGAAAUACAGAAUAUGUUUCUGUGGUGGAAUAAUUCAACAAAAGAAAGAACAAUAAUGUUGAACCCAGAGGAAGCUACAAAAGCAUGAGAUACUUGAAGGUGGUACCAGUGGAACUGAGGACGGUGAGCGCAGUGAUCACUCUGAAGGAAGCCCAGGAUUCAUUCACUGACAUGGACACCACACCUGACACUGCUUGGCUGACCAAGAACCUGAGACUGGAUAGGAUUCACUGACUGACAUGGACACCACACCUGACACUGCUUGGCUGACCAAAAACCUGAGACUGGAUAGGAUUCAUUCACUGACAUGGACACCACACCUGACACUGCUUGGCUGACCAAGAACCUGAGACUGGAUAGGUGAGUGACCUGGGGAUAAUGUAAAUGGGAUUCUCUACAAAAGAAAGAUUGAAAAAGUGAUUUCUAAUUAUCUCUUAUGAUCAUAGAACAGUGCCUUGCUCACUUAGCAUCAGAGCAGAGUCCUUCUCAAGCAGAUCACAAGACAUACUGAGGCCCAUAAGCAGACAUUAUGUAGAGUGAGACACCUUGGAACACUCAGUCCUAUAUUGGAGAAGCGGCCUCAUGCAGCCAUUCUUAACCCCGGAGUAUCUUCACCUGAUAACACCUUGCAAUUGAAAAUUUAGUUUUUUUCUAAUGGAGUCUCUAAGGAAACAAACUCCUCUUAGGUACAGUCCUCAUGUUCAUCAGGAAAUGGCCAAGAGUAAAUGAACCCAUUUAAAUCUACUGUGGAGGUUUCUCGUUUCAUA